CGGUCAGCGCACGCGCGUCGGUGUGCCUGCCAGGGUGCCCUCCCCGGCGACACGCUCAGGCCCGGAUUCCGCGGCGCGAGAGUGAGCGCUGGCGGGGGCGGUGGGAUGCUCCAAGUCGGCGUGAAAGAGGCGAGAGUGGGCGAGCACGGGCGGCCGGACCACGAGCACUCCCGGUGACCACCUAGUCUCCAUUUUAUUUCCUCGGAAACUGCCGGGCAGGCGGAGGACCCGCUGCAGGGCGGGGUUUCUCUUGGCGAAUUGUUUCCUGCCAGCGGCAGCCGAGCUGCGUUCACGCGCUGAUCGGAGAAUGAGUGACAGUACCAGCCUCAGCACACUCGCAACUCGGAGAUCCUUGCGCUGGCCCGUGUUCGUUUUGAUGGAACUGGGAUGGGAGCGAGGAGCGGGGGGCGGGGGUGAGAACCUCACUGUGUCCUUCCACCACGCCGGCCACAAAUAGUGCCGAACAUCAAGGAGAGAGACAUACAACACCCUUCAGCAGAUCCCCUGGGAAGGAGGUGGGAAGAGACUUAAGUUAGAAGAAAACUCCGAUGUUUGGAAGAGAUUUCCAGAAAUAACCCGAAGAAAAUGUUUUCCUGUUUAUAAAUUCUGAAAUCUGUGGUCUCUUUAUUAAAAUAGCCAAGGCUUUUAUAUAGGUAUUAUGAUAUAGAAGCGUCAUUAAAUAAUAUUUUCUUACAUGGGGACGUGACCUUAAUUCUUAAAGAUAUUAAUGUAUAUUACUGAGGUACCAACACAAUAGGCUUUAAUUAAAAUUCCACCCGUGUUUUCAAAAGUAGGGGGUGGAGAGAGCGGGGUGAAAAGAAUCAUGUCUCAGCACCUGAAGGCUUGGGUAUGUAAGGAACUAAUGUGAGGAAGGUGUUCUAGAUGUCAGGUUAACCCAUUAGCCUAGAACACUGAAACCCUCUAACAGAGGAAGUCUGCAUAAGUUCAAAGGCACUAAAGCACUAAUGUUACCGGGUACUCCCUUUUUCUUCAAAGGUCGGCCUCCUCACUCCUGUAGCAGAUUUUCUGUUUUGUUUUUUUGAGACGGAGCCUCGCUCUGUCGCCCAGGCUGGAGUGCAGUGGCGCCAUCUCCGCUCACUGCAACCUCUCUUCCCGGUUCAAGCGAUUCUCCUGCCUCACCCUCCUGAGUAGCUGGGAUUACAGGCACACGCCACCACGCCCAGCUAAUUUUUGUAUUUUUAGUAGAGAGGGUGUUUCACCAUGUUGGUCAGGCCUGUCUCGAACUCCUGACCUCGUGAUCUGCCCGCCUCAGUCUCCCAAAGUGCUAGGAUUACAGGCGUGAGCUACCGCGCCCAGCCGCUGUAGCAGUUUUUAAAAAUCCAUCCUCUGCUGGCAGACCAUCCAUCCUUCCUUACCGAACAGGCCCCAUCUCUUCCCCACUUUCCUCCUCUAUAAUAGACCAAGUGGGCCACACCAGUACAGUGUAAUUAUCGGGGACCCCUGAAAAGUAUUUCUUCCCCCCAAGUAAAUCUUGCACAACGUUUCCUUUGGGCUAUUUCUCUCAUACCAAGUAUAAACAAUUCAAAAAUACAGAAAAGUAGAAAGAACUAAAAUAACCCCAAAUCCCACAGAUUCCAGAGAUACUCAUAGAUUUUGUCUUCUGUAUGUGCAUAUGAUUUUUAUAAUUCACAUAUUAUAGUAGCAAUUUGAAUCCUGCUGAUUUUACCUAACAUCAGUAUAAGCAUUUAUUCCUCUGGUUCAUUAAAAAGCUUUUCUAGAUAUUUUUAUAGCUAUGUAAUAUUUCUUCAUAUGGAUGAUUUUGCAAUGGUUUCCCCAUUUUUGGAUAUUUAUACUGUUUGUGGAGUUUGAUAAUAUAAAUAAUGCUUUUUUGAACAUCUUUCAACAAAUAUUUGGGGAGCAACCACUGGGUUUAGCCCUGUGCUGG